rnacentral:rRNA from 1 species
GACGAACGCUGGCGGCGUGCUUAACACAUGCAAGUCGAGCGGUAAGGCCCUUUCGGGGGUACACGAGCGGCGAACGGGUGGGUAACACGUGGGUGACCUGCCCUCAGCUCUGGGAUAAGCCUGGGAAACCGGGUCUAAUACCGGAUAUGACUCCAUGACGCAUGUUGUGGGGUGGAAAGCCUUGUGCGGCUGAGGAUGGGCCCGCGGCCUAUCAGCUUGUUGGUGGGGUGANGGCCUACCAAGGCGACGACGGGUAGCCGGCCUGAGAGGGCGACCGGCCACACUGGGACUGAGACACGGCCCAGACUCCUACGGGAGGCAGCAGUGGGGAAUCUUGCGCAAUGGGCGAAAGCCUGACGCAGCGACGCCGCGUGAGGGAUGACGGCCUGGU